GGAUGAAGAACGCAGCGAAAUGCGAUACGUAAUGUGAAUUGCAGAAUUCAGUGAAUCAUCGAAUCUUUGAACGCAUAUUGCGCUCUCUGGUAUUCCGGAGAGCAUGCUUGUUUGAGUAUCAGUAAACACCUCAACUUCCAUAUCUUUUUUUGAAAUGGGAGUUGGACUUGAGUGAUCCCAACGCUUUUCCUCACCGAAAAGUGGCGGGUUACUUGAAAUGCAGGUGCAGCUGGACUUUUCUCUGAGCUAUAAGCAUAUCUAUUUAGUCUGCCUAAAAAACAGAUUAUUACCUUUGCUGCAGCUAACAUAAAGGAGAUUAGUUCUUGUGCUGACUGAUGCAGGAUUCACAAAGACAGCUUCGGCCGACUUUGUAAACUCGAUCUCAAAUCAAGUAAGACUACCCGCUGAACUUAAGCAUAUCAAUAAGCGGAGGA
rnacentral:misc_RNA from 1 species